AUGGGCUCCUAAUGUGUACAGAUAAUUGGUAUGGAGAGAACCAUGGGCAGGAAGGAAACAUGAGUCACACAGCAACCAGGAAGGAAGCAGAACAGGAAAUGACAUCUGAGCUUCCUGAGGGCCACCCAGGAAGUGUGACCGGGGAAACAGAGACUGGGAAAGGUAGUCCACAGGUUGCCUGAUGUCAUUAAAAGUGACUCCAGUUUGGGAGGUCCAGGUGAUGAAGAUGGGGAGAGCACAGUCUCUGCUGAUUUCCAAGUGAUGGUGAUAGCAGUGGUACCUUACACAGGAGUGGAAGGGCUGUUAACAUGGUUCAGGAACACAGCAGCACACAGAUGUGUCUUCCCCAGAAGCCUGGAUGCCAUGGAGCAGAGAAGCUAAGGCGCCAUGAGGGAGGGAGAUUUGGCAGAGAUGCUGUGGAAGCUCUCAAUGACCCCAAGGCCAAGUCCAGGGCAGCAGAAGACAAACCGGAACAUCUGGGUUUCAGCCUCAGCCACACCGCGGCCCAUGCUCACCUAGACAACUAACUUCUCUCCACUUCAGAUCAAGUAGAUGCUCAGCAGAGCCAGCAGAUUUUCAGCAGCCACUCCUGCUACUCUGAAAAGGCUAAAAAGAGCGCCCCCCCAUCUCUGAGUCAGCUCAUGGGCAUCACACUCAGACCUGGAGCCUUGAUGAGGCGACUCCCAUGGCAGACACUCCUCACCCACAGAGGUGCUAGGGAAACACAGCCACAGCGAUCAUAUCAACAGGGAUAAAAAUGAAAACCAAGAGGGGUAGGGGUAGUGUUCCUCCAUAGAAGUGCUCCAGUGUGCCCCUUCGCAGAUGAGAAGUUUGGGGCAGGGAGGCAGCGUUCUGGGUAAGUGUGGCCCUGUCACACAGCCCCCAUCCCAGCUGCCUGCUGAGCUCAGGGCUGCGCCUUCCUUUCCCUCCCAGCAUGACAGGGUCAGGCCUGGAAAAAAGGAGGCUCCUAGGAUCACAGGAUGAAUUGGGAGCCCCUGGAUCUAAUUCUAGCCACGUCCUGCCAUGUGGGCGACUGUGGAGAAACUCCCUACUCCAUUACCGGAGCUUCUUCAGGGAGUAUGAUAUGAUACCUUUGGAACAACGAGAGAGAAGAUGCAGCAGGAAACACCUUGGGGAUGAAGGCAUGACACUGGCAAAAGGGCCAGACCCACAGCCUGCCACCAUUUAUUGUGCGCAGCCUGCAUGCCCAGGGGCUGGUGGCCACCGGUGGCCUACUUUUCCCCAGGAGCUAACCACCAAGCUGUCCGUCUGCUGCUGUGGUCAAAAUGGCCUCAGCUGACGUCUCCCAAUGCACCGCCACACGGCCUCGCUGGGGACUGAGGUUUGAAGUCAUGAUAACCGUCACCCCCAUCCUUUGAAUGGGGAAAUGAGGGCAUGUGACUUUGCCCCAGGACAGGGGAUAAAAGGAUGGCUGGCUUUGGGUGUAAACCUAGAAGUCCCAACCCCAGGCUGUUCCCAGGAGACAUCAGAGACCCACCAUUGUGUUCUGGAGAAGGGCAUAAUUUUCAGGGCUCAGGAUUCCUGCUAGCAAAGUGAAGGAUCCAGUUCUGAUAACUCCAUGACAUUCACGAAGGGCGUUGUGGCAAAAAACAAAAGCCACAAGCCAGCACGAAGCAGGCUGCCCCACUGCCCUCUACAGUGAUAGACUAUGCUCAGCCCCACGUGUCCUGGGGGAUGGGGCACAAGGGACUGCCCAGCACUGCCCAAGGGAAGGAGUGAGUCAUGCAGGCCAAAUUGAGAGAGUCCAACAAAGUGAGAAAAGCAAAAGAUGCAGCCUUAGGACAUGGGUUCGAAGCUCAGCUCAGCUACUUCUACCCACCAGCCUUAGGCCAAUCACUCUGUUUUCUUACCUGCAAAAUGAGAAAAAUACAUCUUCUCUACAGGAGAAAUGAGCACAGUGUAAACUGUAAGCAUCAGAGAGAUCAAUCAGGUUCUGAUUCCAACCCACCGAGGAGGCCAGAGGUCUGUGCGAGACUAGGAGCCCCACAGAGGGGAACCUUCCUCAGGCCAUGUCUGAUUCAGAGCCAGCCAACUGCAUGCCAGACGCUCUUCACAUAUCAUCUUAUUUACUGAGAGAAGCAACAUGUCGGUGGUGAAGAGCACAGGCAACAGCUGGGUAACUCUGCAAUCACCAGCUGUGUGACCUGGGACAAGUCACCCAACUUCUCUGAGCUGCAGCUGCCUCCUCUGUAAAACGGAGGUCCACACCACUUCUCUCUCAGGUCUGCUGCUGAAAUUAUGUUUGUUAAGUGUUUGCCAAGCAGCUGGCACCCUAUAAAUGAUAAUAUUGUAUUAUUGCAUCCCUCCCUUGAGGUAUUACUAUCUUCUCUCUACCAGGGAGGAGGGUAAAGCUCAGAGACGCCAGACAACUCAUUCAAAGUCACAGAGCUGCUGCCAAGGAGACAGAGAUGGGGAUUCGCACUCAGGUCUUCUGACUUGGGGCACCCUGAUCUUGCAAUACCACAGGCUUGCAGAAGACACUAAAGGGACAGACAGGCUGCAGGAUGUGUCUUCAUCCCCGGGGAAGGUCACAGCCUCAAGUCAUAAGAAUCAAGUAAUUGGGGGAGGCUGGGUCCGGUACCUCCACCCCUCUCUGACUCCAGCAGCUCCCUGACAAUUGAGACAUGGCCUUAGCAAGUCUCUGAGAGGCAUGGCUGGUCUCCCCCAAGUUAAAUGCGGCUGCAGCAGUUAGGCCAAACUCCCCAAAGCUAAUCAGAUUGACACCUGUUCCCCCGGCCGAGUAAACUCGGAAGGUGCAGCCAACCAGCAGCCUUCACACACGAGAAAGCAAUAGUUUUCAGCACUCUGGCUGCAGUGCAAACCCAGCUCCCAGGGGUGCCAUCUUCUCCAUCUGCAAACAGCCAGCAAUGACCAGAGGCUGGGAGAUGGGAGGCAGUGGGCACUUCGCUGACUACAACCCCCUCAAUGGGGAAAAUCACACGCAUGGGCCCGUCACACCCAGUCCUGCCAAUCCCCAGAUCCUGGUUAUGUUAGUCAUAACUUCGAGGGGACUAGGCAUGCUUACAGACAUAAUUUAUUUUGGUCUUCUGGGCCACCCUGGGGAAGUACAUACUUUUGUCCCAUUUUAUGGAUGAGGAAACUAAGAAAGCUUUAGGUGAUUUUUCCAACAUCCCACAAAUUGGAAGGAAAGGGCUGGGAUGCACACCUGAGUCUCCAGAUUCUUUCUAUAACAGCAUGCUGUUCAUGUGCUCUUUCAUUCAUUCAUUCUCCCUUUGAUCCAUUCAUUCCUUCAUCCACUCAUCUAUACUUAUGACGCCUGAGGUUAUUUAUCUGCUAUACUACCUUUUCCUGCUGCCCAAGAAAACAUGGGAGACUGCAGUGAUAUUUUUCUCUUCUGAAGACCUGCCAGGAUUGCACCCUUCUCCGAGCCUCACCAGCACGGCUGUGCACAGCAAACAGUGGCUGGUCCCAGAGUGAGUGCUGGGAACAGUGCACUCUGCUCCACACUCCACCCUGCCUGCAGCCCUGCUCUACAACUGACCCCUCCUCUGCACAAAGAAGUGAAAAGCCCCAUAAAGUAUCUCAACCUCCCAGGUGCCUGGGAAGCUCAGUCAGUUAAGCGCUGACUCUUGAGUUCAGCUCAGGGCAUGAUCUCCGUCUGGGUCAUGGGAUCAAGCCCUGUGUUGGACUCCAUGCUCAGUGGGGAGUCUGCUUGAGA